AGUCGACGAUGAUCCCAGCUUGCUGGGGGAUUAGUGGCGAACGGGUGAGUAACACGUGAGUAACCUGCCCUUAACUCUGGGAUAAGCCUGGGAAACUGGGUCUAAUACCGGAUAUGACUCCUCAUCGCAUGGUGGGGGGUGGAAAGCUUUAUUGUGGUUUUGGAUGGACUCGCGGCCUAUCAGCUUGUUGGUGAGGUAAUGGCUCACCAAGGCGACGACGGGUAGCCGGCCUGAGAGGGUGACCGGCCACACUGGGACUGAGACACGGCCCAGACUCCUACGGGAGGCAGCAGUGGGGAAUAUUGCACAAUGGGCGCAAGCCUGAUGCAGCGACGCCGCGUGAGGGAUGACGGCCUUCGGGUUGUAAACCUCUUUCAGUAGGGAAGAAGCGAAAGUGACGGUACCUGCAGAAGAAGCGCCGGCUAACUACGUGCCAGCAGCCGCGGUAAUACGUAGGGCGCAAGCGUUAUCCGGAAUUAUUGGGCGUAAAGAGCUCGUAGGCGGUUUGUCGCGUCUGCCGUGAAAGUCCGGGGCUCAACUCCGGAUCUGCGGUGGGUACGGGCAGACUAGAGUGAUGUAGGGGAGACUGGAAUUCCUGGUGUAGCGGUGAAAUGCGCAGAUAUCAGGAGGAACACCGAUGGCGAAGGCAGGUCUCUGGGCAUUAACUGACGCUGAGGAGCGAAAGCA
rnacentral:rRNA from 1 species